UACGGAGGAUGCGAGCGUUAUCCGGAUUUAUUGGGUUUAAAGGGUGCGCAGGCGGAAUGUCAAGUCAGCGGUAAAAUUUCGGGGCUCAACCCCGUCGUGCCGUUGAAACUGUAGUUCUUGAGUACUGGAGAGGCAGACGGAAUUCCUAGUGUAGCGGUGAAAUGCGUAGAUAUUAGGAGGAACACCAGUGGCGAAGGCGGUCUGCUGGACAGCAACUGACGCUGAGGCGCGAAAGCGUGGGGAGCAAACAGG
rnacentral:rRNA from 1 species